UCAUGGGUACUUUUGAGGCAUAACUGGAACAGUUAUCUACUGUGAUUCUUGCUGGGACCAAUAACCUUCUACAGAUACCAACAUCAGCUCCCAUGAAAGGCAAAGAGCUGACAAGUGUACAAACUGCACCUCCACAUUAAGCUACCAGGAGAAACUUCCAAGUUACCCAGUUGUCACCUAUGCCCCGAAGGUGAACACUGUAAACUGCUACAGCAUGCAAUUUAGGAAGAGUUGUGGCUUCUGAAAUCAUGGGAAAAUUUGAAUAUCUACAUUUCACCUCCACUUUUUAGGGGAGAGGUUCAUGAAGAAGUGAUUGAGAAGGAGAGCAAGGCUUGGUUGGACAGUGUGAUUCCAUAGAAAUGUGAGGAGGAAAAGUUGCAAUUAUUUCUGAACCUUCCCAUCAGCCUUGUCGCUGACAGAAUUGGCCUAUUGUGGAUGGGCUUUGUCUAGAUUAGAGAAAGUAGAAGAUGCUCUUUUGGUGAUAUUGUUCAGAGGCUUUACAAAUAGCUACUUUUACAUCAAACUACAUGCAACUUGUUUUCCCUGCUGGACUUCCAUAGUUGUGAAGCCAUGAUUACCAGAAUUUCUGAUUCAAAGAUUCUUGGUGAGUUUCCCUCCUCGGAGUCUUUUAUCUCCUUUCUCUGCC
rnacentral:lncRNA from 1 species